UACGGAGGGUGCGAGCGUUAAUCGGAAUUACUGGGCGUAAAGCGCACGCAGGCGGCUGGGUAAGUCGGAUGUGAAAGCCCUGGGCUUAACCUGGGAACUGCAUUCGAUACUGCCUGGCUAGAGUAUGGGAGAGGGAAGCGGAAUUUCCGGUGUAGCGGUGAAAUGCGUAGAUAUCGGAAGGAACACCAAUGGCGAAGGCAGCUUCCUGGCCCAAUACUGACGCUCAGGUGCGAAAGCGUGGGGGUCAAACAGG
rnacentral:rRNA from 1 species